rnacentral:rRNA from 1 species
GUGUCAGCAGCCGCGGUAAGACGAACUGUGCGAACGUUAUUCGGAAUCACUGGGCUUACAGGGUGCGUAGGCGGCCUGUUAAGUAGGGUGUGAAAUCCCCCGGCCCAACCGGGGAAUUGCGCUCUAAACUAGCAGGCUUGAGUAAGCUAGGGGUGCACGGAACCUCCAGUGGAGCGGUGAAAUGUGUUGAUAUCGGAAGGAACACCAGAGGCGAAAGCGGCAUGCUGGGGCUUGUCUGACGCUGAGGCACGAAAGCCAGGGGAGCAAACGGGAUUAGAUACCCCGGUAGUCCUGGCUGUAAACGAUGAGCACUGGACGGAAGGGGGGCUUACCCUCUUCGGUCGUAGCGAAAGCGUUAAGUGCUCCGCCUGGGGAGUAUGGUCGCAAGGCUGAAACUCAAAUGAAUUGACGGGG